UGGUCCUCUGAACUCGUCUGCAUUCUCUCUAGCGUUCGCCUUCACAGGAGAGGACACCUGUUCUAGCUUCGGAGUGUAACGAGCUACCCAAAGCAGAGAAGUGGAGAAGACGGCUCAGACAUCACGUCCAGAUCUGUCCAUGUUCUGCUGAUAUAUGUGGGUCAUUGGCCCACGAAUGCUCGGGUUAACUGCUAUUGUCUUGCUCUUCUAGAUCAUCAGUGAGGUUUCAAAGAAAGUCACCCAGAUUCAAAACGGUGAGACUGUGAGAGAAAGACCAAAGGAUGAACAAGCCAGUGUGCCUGACUAACUCGUGCCUGUCUUCCUCAGCUGGUCUGGGUGAGUUUAAGAUUCGGGAUUUAAACGAUGAAAUCAACAACCUGCUCCGAGAGAAAGGAGACUGGGAGGUCCGGACUAUAGGCUGCACCAGCGGCCAGAAAAACACGAGCUGAGCUGAUGAAGGACAUCGAUGCGGACUAUUACGGUUCUAGAGACGAAGCCGACGGCGCUUUAGCACAGCUGGAACAGGAAUAUGAGCAUCAAGGUGAGGCAAAGCCAACCAAACACCUGUGUUUCUGUUUAUUAAAGCUGAUCGAUGGCUCGCUGUACUUGAGUUCGAGCUGAAGCUAGGCUCACAAGACGCUGACUUCACAUCU